rnacentral:rRNA from 1 species
AACGAACGCUGGCGGCAUGCCUAACACAUGCAAGUCGAACGAGACCUCCGGGUCUAGUGGCGCACGGGUGCGUAACGCGUGGGAACCUGCCCUUAGGUUCGGAAUAACUCCCCGAAAGGGGUGCUAAUACCGGAUAAUGUCUUCGGACCAAAGAUUUAUCGCCAUUGGAUGGGCCCGCGUUGGAUUAGCUAGUUGGUAGGGUAAAAGCCUACCAAGGCGACGAUCCAUAGCUGGUCUGAGAGGAUGAUCAGCCACACUGGGACUGAGACACGGCCCAGACUCCUACGGGAAGCAGCAGUGGGGAAUAUUGGACAAUGGGCGCAGGCCUGAUCCAGCAAUGCCGCGUGAGUGAUGAAGGCCUUAGGGUUGUAAAGCUCUUUUACCCGGGAUGAUAAUGACAGUACCGGGAGAAUAAGCUCCGGCUAACUCCGUG